rnacentral:misc_RNA from 1 species
GAUGAAGAACGUAGCGAAAUGCGAUAAGUAAUGUGAAUUGCAGAAUUCCGUGAAUCAUCGAAUCUUUGAACGCACAUUGCGCCCUCUGGUAUUCCGGAGGGCAUGCCUGUCCGAGCGUCAUUUCACCACUCAAGCCUCGCUUGGUAUUGGGCAACGCGGUCCGCCGCGUGCCUCAAAUCGACCGGCUGGGUCUUCUGUCCCCUAAGCGUUGUGGAAACUUUCGCUAAAGGGUGUUCGGGAGGCUACGCCGUAAAACAACCCCAUUUCUAAGGUUGACCUCGGAUCAGGUAGGGAUACCCGCUGAACUUAAGCAUAUCAAUAAGCGGAGGA